rnacentral:rRNA from 1 species
GAGCCUGAGAAACGGCUACCACAUCCAAGGAUGGCAGCAGGCGCGCAAAUUACCCAAUCCCGACACGGGGAGGUAGUGACAAUAAAUAACAAUACGGGGUUCUUUAGGAUCUCGUAAUUGGAAUGAGUACAAUUUAAAUCUCUUAACGAGGAACAAUUGGAGGGCAAGUCUGGUGCCAGCAGCCGCGGUAAUUCCAGCUCCAAUAGCGUAUAUUAAAGUUGUUGCAGUUAAGAAGCUCGUAGUUGAAUUUCGGGGUUAGUAGGUUGGUCAUGCCUCUGGUAUGUACUGAUCUCACUGAUUCCUCCUUCCUGAUGAACCGUAAUGCCAUUAAUUUGGUGUUGCGGGGAAUUUGGACUGUUACUUUGGAAAAAUUAGAGUGUUUAAAGCAAGCUAACGCUUGAAUACAUUAGCAUGGAAUAAUGAAAUAGGACGUUCGAUCCUAUUUUGUUGGUUUCUAGGAUUGACGUAAUGAUUAAUAGGGAUAGUUGGGGGCAUUAGUAUUCAAUUGUCAGAGGUGAAAUUCUUGGAUUUAUUGAAGACUAACUUCUGCGAAAGCAUUUGCCAAGGAUGUUUUCAUUAAUCAAGAACGAAAGUUAGGGGAUCGAAGACGAUCAGAUACCGUCGUAGUCUUAACCAUAAACUAUGCCGACUAGGAAUCGGACGAUGUUAAUUUUAUAAUGACUCGUUCGGCACCUUACGGGAAACCA